UUAUCUGUGCCUCUGCCCCCCCAUGCUGCAGAUAAAAUGAGAUAGCACCACAUGGUGUAAUACCUAUCAAGAAUUUGAUGGUGUUAUGUGAUUAUGGUACAAAAUUUG